AGUGAACGCUGGCGGUAGGCCUAACACAUGCAAGUCGAACGGCAUCACAUUAAGAGCUUGCUCUUACGGGUGGCGAGUGGCGGACGGGUGAGGAAUACAUCGGAAUCUACUUUUUCGUGGGGGAUAACGUAGGGAAACUUACGCUAAUACCGCAUACGUCCUACGGGUGAAAGCAGGGGAUCUUCGGACCUUGCGCGAUUGAAUGAGCCGAUGUCGGAUUAGCUAGUUGGCGGGGUAAAGGCCCACCAAGGCGACGAUCCGUAGCUGGUCUGAGAGGAUGAUCAGACAAACUGGAACUGAGAAACGGUCCAGACGCCUACGGGAGGCAGCAGUGGGGAAUAUUGGACAAUGGGCGCAAGCCUGAUCCAGCAAUACCGCGUGGGUGAAGAAGGCAUUAGGGUUGUAAAGCCCUGUUGUUGGGAAAGAAAAGCAGCAGGUUAAUACCCCGCUGUUCUGAAGGUACCCAAAGAAUAAGCACCGGCUAACUUCGUG
rnacentral:rRNA from 1 species